rnacentral:misc_RNA from 1 species
GCAAACUUGGUCAUUUAGAGGAAGUAAAAGUCGUAACAAGGUUUCCGUAGGUGAACCUUCGGAAGGAUCAUUACUGAAAGCGUUGAUGCCAAAAGCGUCGUCGUUUACACCCUUGAUUUUGAGCACCUCAUGUUUCCUCGGCGGGUUCGCCCGCCAGCGAGGACCCCAUAAACUCUUUGCAGUAGCAGUAUUUGUCUGAAAAACAUACCAAUAAUCAAAACUUUCAACAAUGGAUCUCUUGGUUCUGGCAUCGAUGAAGAACGCAGC